ACGUCCCAGUCAGCUCUAAAAAAAAAAGGGGGUCAAGAUAAGAUAUUUUGUUUUUGGUUUUCCACGUGCCAAGCCCCACCUAACCCCACUACCCACCUCACAAUCACUCUAUCUUAUCUUCUUUGGCUGGCUCAGUCCCUACUUCUUUUUUCUUUCUUUUUCUUCUCUUUCAUUUUUGGUAGAACACUCUCUUCACUCCUUCAAACUCUCCAUCGGUACUUCCACACCACCACCAUCACCAUUUCUACCAUCAUUUUUUUGGCAAGAUUACCGGAAAAUUCUUGGGAACCCAUAAACACCUUCACAUCCUUUUUUUGAGGUAAAAAUUUCUCAUCUUUUUGGUGGGUUUUCUCACCACCCUCCAUGACCAAACCUCCAAGCUCCCAUAUCUCUUUCCUCAUUUCUCUCUCUCUCUUUCUAGUCGAGAACUCCUUGUUGAGGAUUAUGUCUCCAUUGGUUUUCCUAGUAGCUAAGUUGUAACGUCCCAGUCAGCUCUAAAAAAAAAGAGGUCAAGAUCAGAUAUUUUGUUUUUGGUUUUCCACGUGCCAAGCCCCACCUACCCCACUACCCACCUCACAAUCACUCUAUCUUAUCUUCUUUGGCUGGCUCAGUCCCUACUUCUCUUUUCUUUCUUUUUGUUCUCUUUCAUUUUUGGUAGAACACUCUCUUCACUCCUUUAAACUCUCCAUCGGUACUUCCACACCACCACCAUCACCAUUUCUACCAUCAUUUUUUCGGCAAGAUCACCGGAAAAUUCUUGGGAACCCAUAAACACCUUCACAUCCUUUUUUUGAGGUUCUAGCUAAUCUCCUUGGAGGUUGGAGAAUUAGGAUUUUGUGGUUGCAAGUGAUCACCCGAUUUGGUUUUAGUAGUCUUUGUGAUAACGGAAUCAAAUCCAGGUUAGUGCCCUUUCACUUUGAAUGACACAUUCUUCCCUGCUGUCCAUGGAGGGAAGAGGUUCCUUGAUUGUGUAUGGGUGAGACUGCUGCCCAUGGGGCCAAGAGACCACAUGCAAGAGAGGUCCUAUUUGACGCGCUCUCUCUGUUGCCCAUGGGGUGGGGGGGGAGAGAAAAACCUUGAAGGUAUGGGUGAGACUGCUGUCCAUGGGGCCAAGAGUUUGCAUACCAAAGAGGACAAUAUCAUGCUAGUUGUGAAUGGGUGGGUCCCUUGACAGGUCUAUGUGGUAGUUUGGUAUAUUUGUGAUAAUUUACCUUACGUUAGAUAUUAUGGUUUUGGAAAUUAUAUUGUUGGUACUCACAGAUUAUAGUAUAUAGUUUCAAGGUAUUUACUUUGAGAAACUUUUUGUUUCAUUAUUAGAUAAUUCUUAUCAGAUUAUUAUUAUUGAAUAUGAAACUUGCUUUUCCUCCACCCCCAUUAAAUAUGCUACUUACUGGGCUCUGUCUCAUCCCAUUAUUUUAUAAACUUUUCAGAGUAGGUAACAAUCUUUUGAGAGAGUUUUUUGGUGGCUAAUAGUAGUUAGACUAACUACUGAUGGAGGCUGAACUUUUGUAUUGGAGAUAUUAGAUGUUGUACAUCUUAAAGUAGCCUUGACUCAUUCGUUUGUGUAUUAUAGUGGUUGUGACUUUAUUCCCACUAAUGGGACAUGCUAUUGAUGUGUAAUUAUUUAUUUAGACCUCUAUUAUUUUGUGGCCAAUGGUCAUUGUAAUUCAUGCUUAGAGCUUUGACUUACUUUGAGAGUAUAUUCAAUGGAAUUAUUAUGAUAA